rnacentral:tRNA from 1 species
GGGCUUGUAGCUCAGCUGGCUAGAGCGCUGUCCUGAUAAGACAGAGGUCGAUGGUUCGAGUCCAUCCGAGCCCACCA